CAAUGGAAUUCGAUAGGAUUAAUUAAAUUGGUUCCCCCAAGGUGGUGUUGAUCACUUUGUGUUUCUUUUCCUAUUGGUGUGAAAACGAAUUCCUUGGGUGACACCAAUGCAGGCAUUUGUGAUCUUGUUAACCGAUGCACCCGCUGACAUCAAGAUGUGGCAUGGUGCGGGCUUUGGGGUUUCAGGGGCGUGAAAUGGCGUGGAAGACAGAGAUGGAAGUGGCCUGCAUCCUCGAAUCGGGGUUGCCUCUUUGAGAGUAGCAGAUUGCCGAGAUGAGGACCUGUGUGGAUGCCCAAAGUUACAGGUCAUCAAGAACUAUAUCCUCGAAACUAAAAGUUGUUGGAAAAGAUCUGUUAUGAUGCCAUAGAAGUUGCAGAUAAGGAUCUUCUCCCCUUAUGCGCUGGGUCUGAAAGCAAGGGCAUGUACUAUUAAAUGCACACAAUAUUUUCUCUUCUACAUUUGUUGGAUGAAUUGGUACGAAGAUUAUGUUGACAUAUUUCUUUUUUCCCUUUUAAGAAUCGAUGAUCGUAGCUGGUUGAUUUUCCAACAUAAGGACCAGAGAAUUGCUACAGUUUGAGAUGACAGUGAAUGCUUACAAGACUAACUUUGCAAAUAUGCGUGAGGGCGACAUAUGCCCUUCUCAUCCUACAUGACUUGGAAUAGCUUUUGACUUUUCAGCUACAUAUCAUGCUUUGAAUUCACCUACAAGAAUCUACCGUUACAACACCAGUGCAUGAUGAGACUGAGAAGAUCUUGACCUUGCUGCGACAUAAUUUAAGGAGCUGGAAUGAGGUUGGACCUUUAACACAAUAGCAAAAUUGAACUCGAAGAACCUCUGAUAUCACUAAAUCAUUAUCAGGCUAACCAGCCAUCUCAGGCCGAGUCUGUUGCUACUGUUGCUCAACCUUUCAGUGGACUACAAGAUGAUAUACCACAAGGUAGCUUUAGUAUUUUGAACUUUCAGCUACAUUUGGUCACGAGUUAUGAGAUGCAUAUGGUUCUAGCAUCCUUCACCACCAUUCCUGUGAUUCAUUCAAUUUGGUUUGUCAUUGUUGGUACUUUCAUGCCAUUUGAUUAUGUGGUAGAGUGUGCUUCCGGACUGCGCGUGGGGUUGGGCAUUCUUGGCUAGACCUAGGCGUCCUCGCGAGCGACUUGCUGUCUGACCCAUCUACCGGCAUACACCAUCGUUUCCGCUCUUUCAUAUGUGGGCUCGGAUGCAAGGUGCAAGUCACCAUGAUGGUAGCGGGUUGAGAGAAGUGGAGAAUAGGGUUCCUCCAGGUUCCAUCCAUGAAUGGUGUCAGUCCAAUAUCUCAGUUAAAUGUCUGCUAUUCCUUCAUUUCUUCAUCUUCGGUUGAAGAAUAAUCCCUCUACUGUCAUCUUGAAGACUUGAAGGGUGGCAUGCGCACGUCCAUACAAUAACUUUAAAUUUUAAGUGUACUUUAGUUGAUGUAUUGUAGUUGAUUGAAUCCCGUCAAAGAUUCAGAGAAAAUCAAGUAACUUGAUAAUUAUUUGCUUAGAGAGCAAGAAGUUGCUACUAUAUCGUGG